rnacentral:lncRNA from 12 species
AUGUCCAGACUCUCAAACAAUCUGACCAUUCAGGUCAUGCAUUUUAGCAGCAAAACCCCUAGACAGAUAGAAUCUGGAUCCCUGGUGAACACUGGGCUUUCAAGGACACCUGCCUGACCUGCCUUAGAAUAUAAGAAUGAAACUUAUAUUUCUAUUGUGUUAAAUCACCGAAAUCAUCAAACGUGGCAAAUACUAUUACUUAUCCUUAAUACUAUGGAGCAGUGUAAUACAGUAAUAAUUUUUUAAGAAUCUCCAAAAGCCAGAGAUUAUUUUAGAAAACAGUUGUUUCAUUGAAUUAAAAAUAUAUUAGGGCAGCCCCAGUGGCCCAGCGGUUUAGCGCCACCUUCAGCCUGGGGUGUGACCUGGAGAUCCGGGAUCGAGUCCCACGUCGGGCUCCCUGAUGGAGCCUGCUUCUCCCUCUACCUGUGCUUCUGCCUUUUUCUCUAUCUCUCUGUCUGUCAUGAAUAAAUAAAUAAAAUAUUUAAAAAUAUAUAUGUAU